rnacentral:tRNA from 1 species
GGUUGUUUGGCCGAGCGGUCUAAGGCGCCUGAUUCAAGCUGGAAAAGCUUACUGGGUUUACAAACCCAGGAAAUCUCAGGUAUCGUAAGAUGCAAGAGUUCGAAUCUCUUAGCAACCA